UUUCUUAAUGGCCCAUAAGAGAAGGGUGUACCUUGGAGUUGCCAGCAUCUUAGCUAUACUUAAUUAAUUACUAUCAGGUAAUCCUGAGGCUCAGUGAGGUCACCAUGGGAACUGCCUUGUGGGGACAAGGGGCACCUCUCCUCCUCUGCACAUGCUCACAAGGUCCUGAGCUGGUGAACCUCCCAUUACUGCCCUGACUCUGCCAUGGGCACCGGGCUUCUCUGCUGGGCGACCCUCUGGCUCCUGGGGGCAGCUUUUGUCUCCACAGGUCACGCGGGAGCUGGAGUGUCCCAGUCCCCCAGGCACAGGGUCACAGGGAGGAACCAGACUAUAGCUCUCAGGUGUGAUCCAGUAUCUGGUCACGUUUACCUUUACUGGUACCGACAGACAUUGGGGCAGGGCCUGGAGUUUCUGACUUAUUUUCAGAGAAACGAAGAACAAGACAAAUUAGAGCUGCGUAAUGGCCGGUUCUCUGUUGAGAGGCCCGAGGGCUCCGUCUCCCACCUGAAGAUUCAGCGAGUGGAGCCGCAGGACUCGGCUGUGUAUCUCUGUGCCAGCAGCUUAGUCACAGUGUGGCACAGCCACUUCCUUCCUGUUCACAAACCCCCAUGUGCCCACUUCUCCCAUAGUCUCUGGAAAUCCCCAAAUAAAGGAGGUCCCCCGUUCUUCCCUCAACGGGGGAAUAAGUGGAUUUGGGAUUCUAGCUAUUCUAAUUGUAGGAGGUCAGAAAAUAGCCUUUGAAAUACUAGAGGCGUC